GGGUUUCAUCAUGUCUGGGAGAGCUAGCAUCGACUCAGCUACCAUCGCUUGCUUUAAAUUAUUAAAGAUUACUUGACACUCAUUAGUCCAUUGCCGCUAGUUUCCCUUUUCAACAAUUAUGUAAGGGGGCAUAUAUUUUGAGAGUAGCCCCGGACAAACCGCUUAUAAUAAUUUAUCAAUCCCAAGAAGGAUCUUAAUUUAGUUAUGCUCUUAGGUACUACCCAUUCCUGGAUUGCUUUCACCUUGGCCUAGUCCAUGUAGAAUUUGCCCUGUUCAAUCACAUGGCCUA
rnacentral:misc_RNA from 1 species